ACAUGCAGCUGGAGCUUCUCACUGUGUCCUGGAGAAGUCCGGUGGCCCCUUUAAAUGACAGCCAAGCUUCUGGACUGGAAGCUGCUAGAAGCAGCAGCAAGUUGGACUGCGAAGCUACAGCACGGGGCCACAGACGUGUUGCUCUGAUGCUCUAAAUACACAAGCAGGGCUGUCUGGAAGGUGGCUUUCAGAAGUGGUGAACAACUCUUGGUAAAGUUUGGCACAAAACAAGGACACCAACCAUCCUGGCCCGUGGUCACACCUCAAUCCCAAGAAAUGGAUGAAGCCAAGCUCUCCCCACCGAUUUCCAAAACGCCUGCGGGUGGUGACACUACCCCGGUUGAAAAACACUGAUUUGGAGGUUUUCUCUUGGAAACCACGCGUGUGAGAGGGAAGGCGCAGACCUGUGUUGUACCUAGAGGUUGGCAUUUCUUUCAGUUUUGCUUUUGAUGAACAAAAUGUGAUACUAAUCCUGCACAGUGCUUCAUCUUCAGACAUAAAGUGGAUGAACUCGAUACUAGUCACAGGUCCCCCGUUUUAAAGACUGUUCACUCAGGGCAAGCGAGGACGAGUAAGGCUGCUCUCUGUGGACACGGGCUUUCUCUCUCUCUCUUUUUUUAAGGGUGAUAAGAGGGAAGAAAAGAUAAGUAGGCUGCAAACAUUUGAAGCAGGGCCUGGGACUUCAGAAGAGGCGUGAAGUGGGAGGCUGGGGGCCCAGGGCGACUUCCACUAGGAGGUGGAAUUAAACAAGGGCUUGGAGAACAGGAAGAAAAUUUUCAGGUACAAAUAGGGAGAAUGGGCGCUUAGCUGUGGAGGGGACAGUGGAGGCUGAUAGCUGGAGUCAGGAAACUGGGGGUCUGUUCAGGGAACCCUGAGUAGUUCCAUGUGGCUGGAGCAGGGGUUUGGAGGGAGGGAAGUGGACGGGUGGCUGCAGAGAUUGCUGGGUGAACUGCAGAGGCCUGGAAAGGAGGAGGGAAGGGAGGAGUGGAGGGAGGGAGCAGAUGUGCACCCGCAUCAACCCUGCCCUCGGGGAAGGGCCUGCCCUGCGGGAACCAUCCCGUACUGUGCUGUGGCUCCUUGGUGUCUGCCCCCACUAAGCUGCAGGCUCUGGGAGAGCAGGGGGACACAGUGCUCUAGGUGGGGGCCCAGGGCACACCAGUGUGGGCUCUCGACAACCCUUUGUUGAGUGAAUGAAUUUUUUUAAACAAAUUUACACACACCGGGAUCUGAGCAUAGAGCCCUGGCCCCUGCAGGCUCAGGUAUGGGGAACAGAAGGCAUUUGAGGCCCAGGUGAACUGGCCUCUUCGGCCUAAUGCCCAGUAUUCAGGUAGCCAGAAGGAUGGCUGCGAGUCCGGCCACUGGGCUCUCCCUCCACCUCACACGUGCCAAGAGGCCUUGGGAAAGUCUCCCCUUGGGGUCCUUGUAUCCAUUGCAUGAGGGGCCUGAACCCAAAGGGGGAGCCAGGUCCUCUCUGGCCCGCAUUCAAGCCUGGCUCCUUCAGGUCACCUGCUGGGAACCUGAGGUCACAGCCCAAGCAGCACUGCCCCCUGGUGGCAGCUGCCAAAAGGCAGGCGAGCCCUGGCCCCUCCAGGUCUGGUGUUUGUGGCUCGGGGUCUGACUCGGGUGGGCGCUCGCUCCAGAGGGCUGAGAACCGAGCACCCUGCAGUUGGUGGUUGUCAGGGCACUCGCUCCCAGUGGUGCUGCCCCGCCCCAUCAUCACAGAGGAAAGGCCCUGGGACCAUGUGAAUUCCUGUGUCUUUGUGUCCCUGGGAGGGGGCGUGAGGCGGAGCGGGGCUCAGUUAAUACCCUCCUCCCUCAUCUUCAUCAUCAUCACCACCACAAAGGACUCCAGCCUUAGGUUCCACAAAGCCCAGGCACGUCCACUUUAUCCUAAGUCCUCGCGGUACCUCUGUGGGGUUGGGCUGAUCCUCCCCCAUUUUGCUGAUGGGAAAACUGAGAUUCAGUGGCUGAGAGCCAGCCUCGCCCCUCCUCUGAUCCCCCUCCCUCCCUGACCUAGUCCAGGGCCCACUCACCCCUAAUGCUCCUCCAGAGGGCAGCCAGGGAGGUUUGCAAAAUCACAGCUCCAUCCAACACCAUCACGCCAGCGUGCACUGACCACUAGGUUGCAGACAUUUAAUCCUACGGAACUUGAGUCACGUGCUCAGGGGCACACAGCUGACAUCAGUGGCUCCCACAGGCUUCUUGAUAAAGGACCAACUUCUAAAGUGCACAGCCAAGCAGUCCAGACCCGCCCUCCCUCACCCCUCCAGCAAUGGCCCUUGGCUGUGGCCUGGAGCCCUGUGCUCGGCCACACUGACCUGCUCGCAGGCCCCGGCUGAGUGGGCUGUUUCACCGCCCUCCGCCUGUGCUGCUGGUCUCUGCCGCCGGCAGAACCAGCAGUACAGCUGACAAGUGUGCUGGGCCUUGGUUUUCAAAGCAUUUAUACAUCCACCAUCUCAUUAAAAGCUUAUUGCAACCUGUGUCAGAGCUUUUCUAUUAUCCCCAUUCUAGAGAUGAGGAGAACAAGGCUGCGAAGGAAGGGACUCCCCUGGUGACCGGCCCACCCCCCUGGCUGAGCCUGGAGAACUUCACAGGGGGCAUGAAGGGUGAGGGGCUGCUCCACUGAGCUGGGGGAGCCAGGUGGGCCCUGGAAGCAAUUCGUGUUUUCAGGUUUCCCUGGGAGGAGGAGACGGUUUGCUCCCAGGAGCCGUCCCUCGUGGCAGCCGGGGCUGUGAAUCCACGCUGCGGCCUCCUUGCUCUGCCGACACCCUGCUGUGGUCCGACUCCAGUCGGUGCUGUCCCUCUACCUCGGUGCUCACUCAGCUGUGCUUCUCUUUGUCUCCACCUGCCACUCUCUUUCAUUCUCCU